GUCAACCACCCACCACGUAAAUGCCAAGGCAUUUUGACGUGGAGGCUUGAAAAAGCCUAGUUGACUAGACUAAGUGCUUAGAGCACUACGUUAUUUGAGAAAUUGAUAUAGGUACCUACAGAUGUAUCGUCUAGUCUGUAGCACUA
rnacentral:sRNA from 1 species